CAANNNNNANCCANGCNNGNCUAGUAUAGCAUUAUACAGCGAAACUGCGAAUGGCUCAUUAUAUAAGUUAUCGUUUAUUUGAUAGUACCUUACUACUUGGAUAACCGUGGUAAUUCUAGAGCUAAUACAUGCUAAAAAUCCCGACUUCGGAAGGGAUGUAUUUAUUAGAUUAAAAACCAAUGCCCUUCGGGGCUCCUUGGUGAUUCAUGAUAACUUCUCGAAUCGCAUGGCCUUGUGCCGGCGAUGGUUCAUUCAAAUUUCUUCCCUAUCAACUUUCGAUGUUUGGGUAUUGGCCAAACAUGGUUGCAACGGGUAACGGAGGGUUAGGGCUCGACCCCGGAGAAGGAGCCUGAGAAACGGCUACUACAUCCAAGGAAGGCAGCAGGCGCGCAAAUUACCCAAUCCCGACACGGGGAGGUAGUGACAAUAAAUACUGAUACAGGGCUCUUUAGGGUCUUGUAAUUGGAAUGAGUACAAUUUAAAUCUCUUAACGAGGAACAAUUGGAGGGCAAGUCUGGUGCCAGCAGCCGCGGUAAUUCCAGCUCCAAUAGCGUAUAUUAAAGUUGUUGUGGUUAAAAAGCUCGUAGUUGAACCUUGGGCCUGGCUGGCCGGUCCGCCUCACCGCGUGUACUGGUCCGGCCGGGCCUUUCCCUCUGUGGAACCUCAUGCCCUUCACUGGGUGUGGCGGGGAAACAGGACUUUUACUUUGAAAAAAUUAGAGUGCUCCAGGCAGGCCUAUGCUCGAAUACAUUAGCAUGGAAUAAUAGAAUAGGACGUGUGGUUCUAUUUUGUUGGUUUCUAGGACCGCCGUAAUGAUUAAUAGGGACAGUCGGGGGCAUCAGUAUUCAAUUGUCAGAGGUGAAAUUCUUGGAUUUAUUGAAGACUAACUACUGCGAAAGCAUUUGCCAAGGAUGUUUUCAUUAAUCAGGAACGAAAGUUAGGGGAUCGAAGACGAUCAGAUACCGUCGUAGUCUUAACCAUAAACUAUGCCGACUAGGGAUCGGACGGUGUUAUUUUUUGACCCGUUCGGCACCUUACGAGAAAUCAAAGUGCUGGCUCNGGNNNNNNGNNNNNNNUNA
rnacentral:rRNA from 1 species